rnacentral:rRNA from 1 species
GACUGAGGGUGCAAACGUUGAUCGGAAUUACUGGGCGUAAAGCGCGUGUAGGCGGAUCGGAAAGUCGGGCGUGAAAUCCCCAGGCUCAACCUGGGAACUGCACCCGAAACUCCCGGUCUUGAGUGGUGGAGAGGGAAGUGGAAUUCCUGGUGUAGAGGUGAAAUUCGUAGAUAUCAGGAGGAACACCAGUGGCGAAGGCGGCUUCCUGGACACCAACUGACGCUGAGACGCGAAAGCGUGGGGAGCAAACAGG